AUUUAAAAUUCUCAACUGUUUAACAAAAACAUUGUUUUUUGUAUUUAAUAUGAAAUAAUGUCUGCCCACUGAGGAUUUGAAUGGCUGCAGUAUAUUGACUGUGCAAAGGUAGCAUAAUAAAUAGUUUCUUGAUUGGGAGCUAGGAUGAAUGGCUUUAUGAGGGAUUUACUGUCUUAUGAGCAGAUUUAGAAUUUAAAGUUUGGGUAAAAAUGCUUGAAUGAAUAAAUGGGACGAGAAGACCCUAUAGAAUUUUAUUUUAUUAGUAAAGGGUUUGUGUAUAUUAAAGUUGAUUUAUUGGUUUAUAUAAAAUUUAAUUGGGGUGAUUGUAAAAUAUUUAACUUUUAUUUUGAUCUAAUUAUUUAUAAAUAUAUAUUUGAUCCAUAUUUAAUGAUUAUAAGAUAAAUUACCUUAGGGAUAACAGCGUUAUUUGUUCGGAUAGUUCAUAUUGAUGAAUGAGAUUGCGACCUCGAUGUUGAAUUAAUAUUAGUUUUGGUGUAGGAGCUAAGAUGAUUUAGUCUGUUCGACUUUAGUAUUUUACAUGAUUUGAGUUCAGACCGGUGUGAGCCAGGUUGGUUUCUAUCUAUUUAAUAGAAAAUAUUUUAGUACGAG
rnacentral:rRNA from 1 species